AUGGCUUUCUUCCUCCACAGCACUUUGCAGGGUUGAGUCCAGCUGCCCUUCCCUAACUCCGAACCUUUGUUUUUCAGCCUGGAAAAUGGACUCUUCAGGAAACAACCAGACUUGUGAGGGCAGGAACAUCGGACCUUUCUUUCCUGUGCCCCCCGUGACCCAGCAGCCUCUCCUGGGUCCCUGGUACCAGAAUGCCACCUAUAAUCCACUCUCCAUUCCAGGGGCAGGUUUCACAAAUGGAAGUCUGUAUUUUCCAUGUCCCAUGGUGUUCAUUGAGUAUCCUGGCUUCCUCGUCCCUCAGUCCCCAUUGCCCACUGCUCUUAACCAAAGACCCAUAGUCCCUCUGUUUUAUAGCAUGGCACCACAAUACGGUGGCCACUGCGAAAGAAUGAAAACAAAAGACACACAAACAGAAACUGAACCUCAACAGGAUGAAAACUUGAAUGAAAAUGAAGACAUGCCCUCAGAAGGGGACAGCCGUGACAUAGGAAGGGUGACCAGUAACCCUCCGGAUACAUUCUCCCCUGAGAAUGUAGGUGAAAAGAAAGAGGUAGAGAGCAGUAGCUACCCUGAGGGGCAUGUUCCCUCCCCUACCAGGUUGGCCCAGGUCGACAAAGUAGAUGGGACCACUCAGGGUGACACGAAGCAGUGCUGUGUUGCACAAUCUGGCCAAUCCCCUGAGUCUGCAUCAGAAAGCAGUAAAGGACCAUGGUGGAGAUAUAGUGACUCCUUUGAAUCUGAUGAUGAUGAUAAUUAUUCUGAUAGCUCUGAGGAGUACUAUUUUCAUUCCCCUGUAAUGUCUGCCCCUACCCCCUUGCCAAGUGAAGUAGGUGAGGGUGUACAACUCCAGGAAAAGCCCCAGCAAAUGCCCUCUGGAGGUGAAUCUCAUAGCCUCUGUGAGAGAUGUCAUUCCUCCCCUCCGUCCACUGUGUACAGAGUCAGUGAGGGCGUCCAGUGCGACAUGGAUAAGGAUGCAGAGCAGAAGGAGAGUGGGAACCAGGAUGAAGAUGAGUAUGAAGAGGAGGUAGAGAAUAACUAUGAGGACCACGGGUUCUCCCCUCCCUGGUCGGCCCAGCUCAGCACAGUUGAUGAGGGCAUCCAGUGCGACAUGGAUAAGGAUGCAGAGCAGAAGGAGAGUGGGAACCAGGAUGAAGAUGAGGAAGAGAUUAACUCUGAGGAGCACAGUGUCUCCCCUACCUGGGAGGGCCAUUUCAAUGAAGUGGAUGAGGGCAUCCAGUAUGGUGUGAGUUGGUUUGAGUCACAGCUAGAGACGUAUCCCCACCAGAUGCCCUCCAAAGGGAAGGAGACAUUGCCAGACUGCCAAACCAAGAGAUCAUGGAGAAAACCAGUCGUGAAUAGGAAAUUAGGUCCAGAUGAAGAGCGCAUGAAAGAUGAGACUGGGGAGGCGUCUAAAGAGAACUUCAAAAGGAGUGAAAAGAUUAAAAAGACAGUGAGAGGCAGGAAGCUGAAAGACCAGGGCAGCUUCUCAGAUGUUAAGACAGUCUGUUUGUUGAAGAAAAGUGCUGCCUUGAACAUGGUGAUUCCUGAGGAUUCAGGAGACUCUGAGUUGGAAGAGGAAGAUGAUGAAAUGGAUGAGGUCGAAUGCCUCCUUGAAGAAGUGAGUCUGCAGAGCCCUCUGACAGCUUCCAAAGGAAGGUCUUAUCAGAAGGCUGGGAGGAUGCUCAGGGUGCCCCCUGAGAGCGCUCUCCCUCCCCAGCUUAUUGCCUGGCCCACGAGAAAUAAGUACAAGCUGCUGCAAGUUCGUGGUGGAUAUGAGCGCAUCCCUGAGGUGUAUCAGUCGGAACCACGGGAUGGCUGUGAGAGCAGCGGUGACAGGCUCCGAAGCAAACACACCAUGGCCAGGCUGAAAGGCCUGGAGUCCAGGAGAGCCUCCCACAAAUGAUUGGAAUGAAUAUCACCGAAGCAUCUUCUCCCAGGCAGCUACGGUCCUGUGCAAGACCACUGCCCUGAUCAAGAAGCCUGGAGUCAGAGCACCGCUCUGCCUCUUACCUCGGACACUUACUGGCAUAUGCAAGGCGACUUCCUCAUCUACAGAAUAGGGGUCAUGCCUUUACUUUAACAGUGCUGUGGUGAGAACAAGUUAAUUAAAAGAAGUGAACUCAUUUGUAAACAGUGUUCUGUAUUCCGUGUGUGUGUGUGUGUGUGUGUGUGUGUGUGUGUGUGUGUGUGUGUGUUAAGGGGUGUUGCUUGAAAUUUGUCCGCACUCACACUGCAUGACUUUGACUUCUUUCCCCAGUGGCAUCCAAAGUCCUUUGGUUGGUGCGCGGGCCAGAAAUUCCCUGGCAUGUUCAUUGCCUGGGACAUCUGGUAUACAGUCUUCUGGCUUAGCCUCAUCUUCCUGGAAAAGGAAGCUCUAUAGCAAAGCACUGGAAUUCCCUCCCACCUGUCAGAGAACACAGCACCACCUGGCUUUCUCAUGGGCUGGAGACCCC
ensembl:lncRNA